rnacentral:tRNA from 1 species
AAGGAUUUAAGUUAAAAAUAAACUAACAACCUUCAAAGUUGUAAAUAGAGAGGCUCUAAGCCUUA